AUUGGCCUAGCCGUCACCUCCAGGCCUCAAACUAUUCAACAAACACACAGCCAACACUCACAUUUAGCUAUUUAAUAUCACAACCCGCCGCUUCCUGUUACCACAGAAACAUUUAUUCCAUAUCGCUCACUCGACACUACUCUACCAUGGCCGUUAUCUUAAAUUUAGACAGCUUGUGUGAAGGUCCUCGCGUGGAAAGCGGAGGCGCAGCGACCCCGUUGGCUGAAA